rnacentral:misc_RNA from 1 species
AGCAGCCGCGGUAAUUCCAGCUCCAAUAGCGUAUAUUAAAGUUGUUGCAGUUAAAAGCUCGUAGUUGAACUUCGGGGUUUACCCAUUGGUCAGGCUUAAUUGUCUGUACUGGUGAGAUGAAUCUCUACCUUCUGAGGAACUUUCAUGCCAUUUAUUUGGUGUGAUGGGAAAUCAGGACUGUUACUUUGAAAAAAUUAGAGUGUUUAAAGCAGGCUAACGUCUGAAUACAUUAGCAUGGAAUAAUGAAAUAGGACGGACUGAUUCUAUUUCGUUGGUUUCUAGGAUCACCGUAAUGAUUAAUAGGGAUAGUUGGGGGCAUUAGUAUUCAAUUGUCAGAGGUGAAAUUCUUGGAUUAUUGAAGACUAACUACUGCGAAAGCAUUUGCCAAGGAUGUUUUCAUUAANCAAGAACGAAAGUUAGGGGAUCGAAGACGAUCAGAUACCGUCGUAGUCUUAACCAUAAACUAUGCCGACUAGGGAUCGGACGAAGUUAAUUUUAUAAUGACGCGUUCGGCACCUUA